rnacentral:rRNA from 1 species
UACGUAGGUGGCAAGCGUUGUCCGGAUUUACUGGGCGUAAAGAGCGCGCAGGCGGUCGGCCAAGUCGAGUGUGAAAGCCCCCGGCUCAACUGGGGAGGGUCAUUCGAUACUGGUCGACUCGAAGGCAGGAGAGGGAAGCGGAAUUCCCGGUGUAGUGGUGAAAUGCGUAGAUAUCGGGAGGAACACCAGUGGCGAAGGCGGCUUCCUGGCCUGUUCUUGACGCUGAGGCGGCGAAAAGCUGA